rnacentral:rRNA from 1 species
UACGAAGGGGGCUAGCGUUGCUCGGAAUCACUGGGCGUAAAGGGUGCGUAGGCGGGUCUUUAAGUCAGGGGUGAAAUCCCAGGGCUCAACCCUGGAACUGCCUUUGAUACUGUCGAUCUGGAGUAUGGAAGAGGUGAGUGGAAUUCCGAGUGUAGAGGUGAAAUUCGUAGAUAUUCGGAGGAACACCAGUGGCGAAGGCGGCUCACUGGCCCGAUACUGACGCUGAGGCACGAAAGCGUGGGGAGCAAACAGG